rnacentral:rRNA from 1 species
CAAGGAUUCCCCCAGUAACGGCGAGCGAAGUGGGAAGAGCUCGAGCCUGAAAUCCCUGGCAUUGCAUGCCAGAGAAUUGUGGCCGGGAGAGGCAGCCGUGCCCGGGCUGGCGCUGUCGAAGUUGACCUGGAAAGGCACGUCAGAGAGGGUGAGAGCCCCGUGUGCGACACCGCCGGGCUGGGCCGCUACUGUCUUCGGAGAGUCGGGUUGUUCGGGAAUGCAGCCCAAAGUGGGUGGUAAACUCCAUCUAAAGCUAAAUACCGGCACGAGACCGAUAGCGAACAAGUACCGUGAGGGAAAGGUGAAAAGUACUUUGAAAAGAGAGUCAAAAAGACCGCGAAACCGUUAGGAGGGAAACGAAUGCAGCUGAAGUGGCUCCCCGUCAGGCUCAGGAGACGUCGGUGGGUCCCGCUCUGUCCCGGGAGCCGUGAGGUUCUGGGGCGGGGUGCGGACUGCCGACUGCUCUGCACUUCUGCGGGGAGCCGGCCAACAGCAGUUGGGCCUGGCCGAGGAGGGUGCUGGGGCAGGUAGCUCUGCGUCGCCGUGGAGAACUUACAGCCCGGCAUCUGGCGUGGUCUGGGCACGACUGAGGAGAGUCUGGUGCGAGUCUUCGCACUUGCAGCGUGGGCCCCUGGGGCUGGGCCGCCCCCACCCGGUCGGAGGCCGCGGCUGCCACUGCCUGCAGUGGUGGAUCGACGGCGCUGCGUUCCGGGAGGGGGUGUCGGUCACACCUCGCGCUGUGGUUGUUGGUGUCCGAAUGGCU